GAUGAACGCUAGCGGCAGGCUUAAUACAUGCAAGUCGAGGGGCAGCACGGUUAGCAAUAACUGGUGGCGACCGGCGCACGGGUGCGUAACACGUAUACAAUCUACCUUAAACAGGGGAUAGCCUUUCGAAAGAGAGAUUAAUACCCCGUAAUAAAUUGAACGGCAUCGUUUGAUUUUGAAAGCUCCGGCGGUUUGAGAUGAGUAUGCGUCUGAUUAGCUAGUUGGUGAGGUAACGGCUCACCAAGGCGACGAUCAGUAGGGGAUCUGAGAGGACUAACCCCCACACUGGUACUGAGACACGGACCAGACUCCUACGGGAGGCAGCGUAA
rnacentral:rRNA from 1 species